UUUUUAUCAAAUGAAACAUGAGGGGUGACACUGUCAUUUUUCUUUGGUCGUCAGGAAAAAAAACAUAAGGGGUAACACUGUUGUUUUUUAUUGGUCGUCAUGAAAAAAAACACAAGGGGUAACACUGUUGUUUUUUAUUGGUCGUCAUGAAAAAAAAACAUAAGGGGUAACACUGUUGUUUUUUAUUGGUCGUCAUGAAAAAAAAACAUAAGGGGUAACACUGUUGUUUUUUAUUGGUCGUCAUGAAAAAAAACAUAAGGGGUAACACUGUUGUUUUUUAUUGGUCGUCAUGAAAAAAAACAUAAGGGGGUAACACUGUUGUUUUUAUUGGUCGUCAUGAAAAAAAAACAUAAGGGGU
ensembl:lncRNA